rnacentral:lncRNA from 1 species
CUCAUCUUAUCUAAGCAUAGAAUUGUUUUUCACUCCAUGUGGAAGUCGGUAGUUUCCCUUUUAUCUUUGCUAGUACCAUUUAUAUUGUUGGACUUAUCGAACUUGCUUUUCUUCAAUUUCUUAAGUUGGGAUUUGAAUUUUUUUUCUUUAGUACUGCAUAAUCAUGCAAUCUGUAUGAAGUUUUGUGCUAGAAAGGCAGUUAGAUGGUUAUAGUCUUUUCUGUCAAGAAAAUCACGAGAUACAUCCCCUAAGCUAUUUGGCUUAUUUAAAGUGCUUGAACCCUGAUUAGGCUGACAAAUUUCCGCUUUUAUCAAAAACCUUAUUUAUCUGACCUUAGUUCCAGACUUCUAGAAAGAUUUUACUUUAGCUUCAAAGUGGUUUUGUGUUAACUUUACCUAGAUGGUUUUGUGUUAACUUUACCUAGAUACUGAAUACAGGUUCUGGUUGUGGGAGGUGGUGAUGGUGGGGUUCUUGCAGAGAUUUCUCGGCACAGCUCUGUUGACCACAUUGAUAUAUGUGAAAU